rnacentral:tRNA from 1 species
AACUCAACUAGUAUAUGGAAUAUGUUGAUUUUAGGGGUCAAAGAACGAAAUGUGAUUUUUGGUUGAGU